rnacentral:rRNA from 1 species
GUUGUAUGGUUAAGUGACUAAGCGUACACGGUGGAUGCCUUGGCAGUCAGAGGCGAUGAAGGACGUAGUAACUUGCGAUAAGCGUAGAUGAGGCAGUAACAGCCACUUGAGUCUACGAUUUCCGAAUGGGGAAACCCACUGGCAUAAGCCAGUAUCAUUGAGUGAAUACAUAGCUCAAUGAAGCGAACCGGGAGAACUGAAACAUCUAAGUACCCCGAGGAAAAGAAAUCAACCGAGAUUCCGAAAGUAGCGGCGAGCGAAAUUGGAUUAGCCCUUAAGCUUUACAUGUGUUAGACGAACGGUCUGGAAAGUCCGACGAUACAGGGUGAUAGUCCCGUAGUUGACGAUGCAUGUUCAGUGAAAUCGAGUAGGGCGGGACACGUGUUAUCCUGUCUGAAUAUGGGGGGACCAUCCUCCAAGGCUAAAUACUCCUGACUGACCGAUAGUGAACCAGUACCGUGAGGGAAAGGCGAAAAGAACCCCUGUGAGGGGAGUGAAAUAGAACCUGAAACCGUGUACGUACAAGCAGUAGGAGCACCUUCGUGGUGUGACUGCGUACCUUUUGUAUAAUGGGUCAGCGACUUAUAUUCAGUGGCAAGGUUAACCAUCUAGGGGAGCCGUAGGGAAACCGAGUCUUAACUGGGCGCCAUAGUCUCUGGAUAUAGACCCGAAACCGAGUGAUCUAGCCAUGGGCAGGUUGAAGGUUGAGUAACAUCAACUGGAGGACCGAACCGACUAAUGUUGAAAAAUUAGCGGAUGACUUGUGGCUAGGGGUGAAAGGCCAAUCAAACUCGGAGAUAGCUGGUUCUCCCCGAAAGCUAUUUAGGUAGCGCCUCGGACGAAUACUACUGGGGGUAGAGCACUGUUAAGGCUAGGGGGUCAUCCCGACUUACCAACCCUUUGCAAACUCCGAAUACCAGUAAGUACUAUCCGGGAGACACACGGCGGGUGCUAACGUCCGUCGUGGAGAGGGAAACAACCCAGACCGCCAGCUAAGGUCCCAAAUUACAGCUAAGUGGGAAACGAUGUGGGAAGGCUUAGACAGCUAGGAUGUUGGCUUAGAAGCAGCCAUCAUUUAAAGAAAGCGUAAUAGCUCACUAGUCGAGUCGGCCUGCGCGGAAGAUGUAACGGGGCUAAGUUGUAAACCGAAGCUGCGGCAAUGUUCUUUGAACAUUGGGUAGGGGAGCGUUCUGUAAGCCGUUGAAGGUGUGUUGUAAAGCAUGCUGGAGGUAUCAGAAGUGCGAAUGCUGACAUGAGUAACGACAAGGGGGGUGAAAAACCUCCCCGCCGGAAGACCAAGGGUUCCUGUCCAACGUUAAUCGGGGCAGGGUAAGUCGACCCCUAAGGCGAGGCCGAAAGGCGUAGUCGAUGGGAAACGGGUUAAUAUUCCCGUACUUCUUACAAUUGCGAUGGGGGGACGGAGAAGGCUAGGUGGGCCUGGCGACGGUUGUCCAGGUUCAAGUGCGUAGGCU